rnacentral:lncRNA from 1 species
UUUAUCAGAGCACGGUAAUAUUUUUAUUUUUUUAACAAUAAAUCCGAUUUAGAUUUUAGUUAACACAUACUUGAUAUUUUCAAAGUCACUUGGGGGCUAAGUACUUUUUUUCGUGGUUCUGAUAUGAUCCAAACUUUAUACUUUUCACAGACUUUAUAUUCUGAUCGUGAGCAAUUUAAUGAUGGAUUUAAUAAUAUGCAUGCGAAUUACAAUACUGCCUGCACACAUUACAGCAUGUGAAACACGACAACAUAUUGCUUUUGCUUUCAUUUCAACACGUUUUAUAUUAAGGGUAUUAGGUCGCCGAAAAGUAAAUUUGGAAUCACGCGACCACUUCGAGACCAUUUCGAGACGCACGCGUCUUAAUUAAGAAAGGAGUGCCGAGCGGAUUUGUUUGUUCAACAGAUGAAAGUAAGAGCGGUUAUGGCUGCUACAAGAUGCGGAUGGUUUUGGAGCAUUGUUUGGGUUUUGAUAUUAUUGGUAUUAGCUUGGCCAUUGGGACUUUUGGCGGCGAUAUUCUACGCAAUGUUUGCACCAUUUGCCGCAUGUUGUAACGCGUGUGUUGAUCUUACGAACUUCUUGAAGAAAGCCAUGGAAUUCCCUUAUAAGGCCGGACAGAAUAUAGUAAAAGGCGAAUCUGGAUGCUGAGGAAUGUAGGCCUAUUCGAACGUUUAUACACAGAUUGAGCCAGUACAAUGGAGAAAGGCAAAGGCAAAGAACAUUUUUGGAGAUAAUUUUGACGAUAUUGACACCUCGUACUUUGUCUUUGUGCCAUUUCCGAUGUCUAUAUGCACCGAAAUUUUAUUACAUUUUAAUCAGACAGCUCUUCGGUUCAUUUCAAUGGUAGGAUAUUAAGUGACUCAUGGAUGAAUUACACUACAUUAGAUGAUAAAUCUGCUAAAAAGCUAUAUCAGUAUAUGUCUAUGAAGUGUAUUAAAUAUGCUUAUUAAUAGAUAGUUUUAAAGUCGGAUGAAGCUGCAGAUCAGCUUGAAAAUAUGUUGAUUUUCUCACUGAUAAUUUAAUAUCAAUACAAGUAAUGUCACGUCUGGUCACUAUGGUGUAUCAUAUUAUAAAAGUAAGAUAAAGUGCUUUCUCACAUGUUGGUAGCGAAUACAAAGUAUUUUCAUGAAUAUAUUUUAGAUGCCUGUAUAUUGAGUGCAAAUUAUUAAUAUUGCUUUGAUACAUUGCAAAUUGCAACCUUUUACAUUAUUGAUCAGUGUAGCUUUAUAAAUUUUUAAACGGUGUCAACAAUGUGAUCUCUUUUAGG